rnacentral:tRNA from 1 species
GCCCCCGUACCUCAGAUGGAUAGAGGGUCCGCCUCCUAAGCGGAACGCCAGCAGUUCGAGCCUGCUCGGGGGUGCCA